rnacentral:rRNA from 1 species
CACGUAGGGGGCGAGCGUUUGUCCGGAAUCAUUGGGCGUAAAGAGCUCGUAGGCGGCUCAGUAAGUCGGGUGUGAAACCCCCAGGCUCAACCUGGGGACGCCACUCGAUACUGCUGUGGCUAGAGUCCAGUAGAGGAGUGUGGAAUUCCCGGUGUAGCGGUGAAAUGCGCAGAUAUCGGGAAGAACACCCGUGGCGAAAGCGGCUCUCUGGAACGGUACUGACGCUGAGACGCGAAAAGCGUGGGGGAGCGAACAGG